UACGAAGGGGGCUAGCGUUGUUCGGAAUUACUGGGCGUAAAGCGUAUGCAGGCGGAUUGUUAAGUCAGGGGUGAAAUCCUGAGGCUCAACCUCAGAACUGCCUUUGAUACUGGCAAUCUUGAGUCCGGGAGAGGUUAGUGGAACUGCGAGUGUAGAGGUGAAAUUCGUAGAUAUUCGCAAGAACACCAGUGGCGAAGGCGGCUAACUGGCCCGGUACUGACGCUGAGGUGCGAAAGCGUGGGGAGCAAACAGG
rnacentral:rRNA from 1 species